UACGGAGGGUGCAAGCGUUAUCCGGAUUCACUGGGUUUAAAGGGUGCGUAGGCGGCCCUGUAAGUCAGUGCUGAAAUAUCCCGGCUUAACCGGGAGGGAGGCAUUGAUACUGCGGGGCUAGAGUACAGAUGAGGUAGGCGGAAUUGACGGUGUAGCGGUGAAAUGCGUAGAUAUCGGUAGGAACACCAGUGGCGAAGGCGGUCUCCUGGGGCAUUCUUGACGCUGAGGCGCGAAAGCUGGGGGAGCAAACGGG
rnacentral:rRNA from 1 species